rnacentral:rRNA from 1 species
GAUGAACGCUGGCGGCGUGCCUAAUACAUGCAAGUCGAGCGAACGGACGAGAAGCUUGCUUUUCUGAUGUUAGCGGCGGACGGGUGAGUAACACGUGGAUAACCUACCUAUAAGACUGGGAUAACUUCGGGAAACCGGAGCUAAUACCGGAUAAUAUUUUGAACCGCAUGGUUCAAAAGUGAAAGACGGUCUUGCUGUCACUUAUAGAUGGAUCCGCGCUGCAUUAGCUAGUUGGUAAGGUAACGGCUUACCAAGGCAACGAUGCAUAGCCGACCUGAGAGGGUGAGCGGCCACACUGGAACUGAGACACGGUCCAGACUCCUACGGGAGGCAGCAGUAGGGAAUCUUCCGCAAAGGGCGAAAGCCUGACGGAGCAACGCCGCGUGAGUGAUGAAGGUCUGCGGAUCGUAAAACUCUGUUAUUAGGGAAGAACAUAUGUGUAAGUAACUGUGCACAUCUUGACGGUACCUAAUCAGAAAGCCACGGCUAACUACGUG